AUACCAGCAUUCUUCAAAAUAUCUUAUUUUGUGUUCAGCAGAAGAAAUAAAAACGGGAAGAACUUGAAGGUGAGUAAUGAUGACAGAAUUUUCAGUUUGGGGUAAGCUAUGGCUGUAAUGCAAAUCCAAAACAACAACAAUAAUAAAUAAUAAUAAUUGAUGAGACAGGUAACGAUUCAAAUUCCAGUUUGAAUUAUAAUACCCAUUUCUGUGUCCAUUGAAUGCCACGAUAAAGCUAGUUACUUCCUACUAUGGAGCAGAUUUUAAAAUUCUUUAUAAUUGCCAGUUAAAGCUGACAUGAAAAAGUAUCAUAUGUGGGAACUCUAUGGGUUAACUGAGGCUCGGGGAAACCUGUUGCCAAUUAAGUGUGUGGAAUGCCACAUAUAGACAUUUCCUCAGAACUUCCACCACAGGUUUCAGAGCACACGUUCCCUUUCAGACAGACAAUAUAACCGCUUUAACCGUUUAAAAUGUUUGUUUUAUUCACAUUUUUGCUUUCACAGUUUGGAAACAAUUGUCAGAACUGACCAUGUGGACAAUGUGUUUGGCUCCGCUCUGAUUCAUUCUAUGGAUUACAAGAGACCCAAGUUUAUGUGUCUUUAGCAUUUUUUCUAUUACACUGUGCACAAGCUGCGAUGGAAACGCAGAGGUUUUUAUUUCUCAUCUGUCUGAUGAUGUGUGGAGGAGACACUGAAAGUGCACCUGAAAUGUGCAAAGGAGCGCACUGCCAAAGGUCUCCGUCCAGAUCACCUGAUCACCAGAGCAGAUUUUCAAUUUAUGCUCCAAGACGCCCAUCGGUUCCCUACACGGUAAUACAUCCACAGCACAGUAGGGCUGCCAGUCCGAAAGUAAACCCAAGGACCAUCACGGCUGAGGUGUUCAACCCACAGGGAUGCACGGGAGGAGGUUGUCAUAGCUUGCCAAGACCAACAAAUAAUGAUACAAAUGAUUGCAAGGGAAUCGGAUGUAAACUACCUGUAAGGAUGCGACAAGAUCCCAAACAGCAUUCCACAGGGACAGAUGUUGGAAGAAGCAGACUUUCUUUUGUCCAUAUGCAGGACAGAGCCGAGCAAGUAUUGGGGGAAUUUCCAGAGCUGGGAACUCGAGGGGGGCCAUCAACUGGAAUUCAGUUAACAUGCGACAUCAAACCAGGCACAAAUGAAGUCCACUCUGAAGAUGCAUUAGUGUUGCAUUUGCACUUGGCGAAAGGUCAGGAUAAACUGGUGGCACAGUUGCAGGGGCAGCAAGCUGAAGUUAAGCAACUUCAGAACACGCUGAGAGAACAGCAAAACGCUCUACUAGCCCACCAAAGAGAAAUACUGGACCAACAACGGAUUAUGUUUGAAAAGAUGGAGGAAGUCAAGACCCAAUACAACAUUCUUCUUGACAGCGUCAAACAGAUAUCUGUACGAGGUCCACAGGGCAACAUAGAGAGCCAUUUAGAUGGUCUCCAAUCCCAGGUUAGAACCUUUUCCCAGGAGGCCUUUGCAAUGCAUAAGAUGAACAUGGAUGCUAGUGUUGCAGAUGCUGAGAGACCUCUACUUGGCUGUGGAUCCUGCCGAGCAGAUGAAUACUGCGACUUCAGCGCAGACCGGCCACAUUGUGAGAAAUGUACUGUUUGCCCUCCGGGAUUCUUUCUAGUGGCUCAGUGUUCAAUUCAUGCUGACAGGAUUUGCCAGGUACGUCUUCUACUCUAUUGCUGUACCACUGUAAUUGUUGUGAAUUUAAAAAGGAUCAUUUUGAUCAUAGUGCAGCCAAAUAGAACUGAUUU
ensembl:lncRNA